GACGAACGCUGGCGGCGUGCCUAAUACAUGCAAGUCGAACGAACCGCGACUAAGUGCUUGCACUAAGUCAAGGUGAGUGGCGAACGGGUGAGUAACACGUGGGUAACCUACCUCAUAGUGGGGGAUAACAGUCGGAAACGACUGCUAAUACCGCAUAGGACAUAGGAUCACAUGAUCCAGUGAGGAAAGGUGGCGCAAGCUAUCGCUAAGAGAUGGACCCGCGAUGCAUUAGCUAGUUGGUAGGGUAAAGGCCUACCAAGGCGAUGAUGCAUAGCCGACCUGAGAGGGUGAUCGGCCACAUUGGGACUGAGACACGGCCCAAACUCCUACGGGAGGCAGCAGUAGGGAAUCUUCCGCAAUGGACGCAAGUCUGACGGAGCAACGCCGCGUGAGUGAAGAAGGUCUUCGGAUCGUAAAGCUCUGUUGUUAGAGAAGAACAGCGCAUAGAGUAACUGCUAUGCGUGUGACGGUAUCUAACCAGAAAGCCACGGCUAACUACGUG
rnacentral:rRNA from 1 species